UACGUAGGGUGCAAGCGUUGUCCGGAAUUAUUGGGCGUAAAGAGCUCGUAGGCGGUCUGUCGCGUCUGCUGUGAAAACCUAGGGCUUAACUCUGGGCGUGCAGUGGGUACGGGCAGGCUAGAGUGCGGUAGGGGGAGACUGGAAUUCCUGGUGUAGCGGUGAAAUGCGCAGAUAUCAGGAGGAACACCGGUGGCGAAGGCGGGUCU
rnacentral:rRNA from 1 species